AUGAACUAUCAGGUGCGUGUCAGUGUUGCUCUGUUUGUCCUCUUAUUAGUUGUCAUUUUAAUUUGGCAGGCAGGGAACUCAUGUUAAAUGCCCUGCAGUAAAAAAAAAACAGGGGAAAAUAACGUCCUUCUUUCAAAUACACCAUGUUUAAUGUAUUUUGCGAUAGAAAUUUCUAUAAUAUGAUGAGGUAACAUUAGUAAUUAUCAUUCCCCAUUAAAGAAAAACAACACUGAAUACUUUAUUUUCAUGUCAGCUGUUUGUUCAUUACUGAUAUGUUCUUAACUUUAACUGGUGUGUACGAAAGGCAGGCUUUCUUAUCUCCAGCAGAGCAGUACUUAAAUUUAUUGACACGUUAGAUUGAUAAAGAAAAAUUCAUGACUGAAAAAGUAAAGAGAGGGGUGUGCUUGAUGUUAAAGGGGUACUUCACCGCUGGCAAAAUGGGCUUUCAAUAAAACCUGGCUGUCGUAGAAAACUUGGCUGCUAUGCAGUAGAAAGCCGAAAAAAAAAAAAAAAAAAAAUGAAUCUCUGAAAGGCUGUUGUCUUCACUUUUCCCAAACAGGUAGGAAAACUUCAAUACCCAUAAUGCUCUGGGCAUAUUGCCAUCCAAGGCCACUCCCAUCAGUCUGCUAUGGAUACACUUAACCAGUCGAAUAAUAGUGUUGACUCAUAUUGUUCCCGGGUGCAAGAAUUCAAAGAGGAAAUGUUUAGCAAGAGUGAGUUACUUCUGGUUUCCAGUGAAGGAUCCAGCAUGUUGUAGGCUGUGGCUAAAGGCUGCAAAGAAUCGUAAAUACAGAGAGAAUACUGCCAUGGAAAAAAAAAAAUGGAAAUGGAAUAAAUGGAAAGAAACAGCCGUUCUGUCAGUUCCGCCCACCCUAGAAGCAAAACACUGUCGCGUACAGGCAAACUAACCCUGUAAGUGAAGGUAAAUAGUUGGGACUGAAAGAAAA